AGAAACGUGAUGAAGAGAAAAGUAUAAAUGACGAAGCAUCAAAGAGAGUCCGGGCAGGUGAGAGCGGAUAUGCGGAAGAAUUUAGAAAAUGGUCUCUGAAUGGCAUUGCCGAUAAGUAGGCAAUGACGGGGCAGCGCUCGUUACCAACGCUCAAGUAUGCUUGUACUUGUUGAGGCAAGAGUCGUGAGGCUUUUGCAAAUGAAGGUGGUAUCGCGAGUUAGCUCGUCCUUUUC
rnacentral:ncRNA from 1 species